rnacentral:rRNA from 1 species
GAAACUCAAAGGAAUUGACGGGGACCCGCACAAGCGGCGGAGCAUGCGGAUUAAUUCGAUGCAACGCGAAGAACCUUACCAAGGCUUGACAUAUAGAGGAAACGUCUGGAAACAGUCGCCCCGCAAGGUCUCUAUACAGGUGGUGCAUGGUUGUCGUCAGCUCGUGUCGUGAGAUGUUGGGUUAAGUCCCGCAACGAGCGCAACCCUCGUUCUAUGUUGCCAGCACGUAAUGGUGGGAACUCAUGGGAUACUGCCGGGGUCAACUCGGAGGAAGGUGGGGAUGACGUCAAAUCAUCAUGCCCCUUAUGUCUUGGGCUUCACGCAUGCUACAAUGGCCGGUACAAAGGGCUGCAAUACCGUAAGGUGGAGCGAAUCCCAAAAAGCCGGUCCCAGUUCGGAUUGAGGUCUGCAACUCGACCUCAUGAAGUCGGAGUCGCUAGUAAUCGCAGAUCAGCAACGCUGCGGUGAAUACGUUCCCGGGUCUU